CCUACGGGUGGCAGCAGUAGGGAAUAUUGCUCAAUGGGCGAAACCCUGAAGCAGCAACGCCGCGUGGAGGAUGACGGUUUUCUGAUUGUAAACCCCUUUUGUUAGAGAAGAUAAUGACGGUAUCUAACGAAUAAUCACCGGCUAACUCCGUGCCAGCAGCCGCGGUAAUACGGCGGGUGCAAGCGUUACUCGGAUUUAUUGGGCGUUAAGGGCGCGUAGGCGGGAUAGCAAGUCAGAUGGGAAAUCCUAUGGCUUAACCAUAGAACUGCAGUUGAAACUGUUGUUCUAGAGUGUGGGAGAGGUAGGUGGAAUGCGUGGUGUAGGGGUAAAAUGCGUAGAGAUCAAGAAGAAUACUGAUUGCGAAGGCGACCUACUAGAACAUAACUGACGCUGAUGCGCGAAAGCGUGGGGAGCAAACAGGAUUAGAUACCCUUGUAGUC
rnacentral:rRNA from 1 species